rnacentral:lncRNA from 1 species
AAUCCAUGCUGCCAUGACGAUGGGCUCUUUGUGACACUUUGGGAAUAAGGUGAGAGGAUUCAGUCCUACCUCACCAAUAUGUUAGAGAAGCAGAAGUUUACACUUACAAAAACGCACAAGUCCAGCUUCUCACGGAGACUGUGAAAAUGCCCUCUGUUCAUCUACUGCUGUGUGAAAAGGCGCCCCAAACAUAGCGGAUUGAAACAGCAUGAUCAGGUCUUCACUCAUACAUUGGCAACUGGGGCCCGGCUCCUUCCACGGGCAUCAGAGGAGAGGUUCUGCUGGGAUCUGAAGACCUCAGGGCUGAGGCACUCAUGCACAGGAGCCUGAUGACUAAACAAGGGGGAGAUAUACCUGCCUCGAUUUUGUGCAUGAUCACUGAAAACUGGAUCCUAGAGUAAUGGGCUCUUCAAAAUAGAGCUGGUGCUUCAGUAUUUGCAUGUAUGUGACUCUAGGGACAGGAAGGCGUUCUGUCCAUUGGCGUGGUGCCUGUGGUGACUUCACAAGCUCUGAUAUGGAUCCUGAUAAGCCUUCCUGCUCCCCAUCUGCCUAAAUAUUUACCAAUGCCCAUGGGGAUUGGUCUGUGUUAUCUUCUAUUUCAAUUAAAACAGGCUGGCAACACUUCUUAGUUUCCAAAGAUAGAGCAUACAAUUCCAAAAUGUUCCUUUAAGUCAAG